rnacentral:misc_RNA from 1 species
UGAGCGGCUGCUUCUCGAGUGUUUACGACCUUGAUGCGUUGCUGAUAGAAGCAGAUGUGUCCAUUCGGAGCGCAAUCAUGGAUACGUUUCUUCUCCUUGCAGGAACCGGCUGUGCGGUUUUGGAUGUCCGAGUGUCGACACCGUGUUCCACUACAGCAACUAUGUUGGGUCGAACUACUUACUCGGAGAGCCCGCGCCAGCCGACUAAUGUGGGCCAAGACACAGUGCCUUCGUAACAUGCUGUCUGUGGCCAUGUCGCAUUUUAUGGACACGCACGGCCUAUACUGUGCCAUCCACGUCAGCCGAUGGCAGGUCGCAGUCCACAUGGAGGAAAUUAUUGCGAUUGGGUCUACACGGUGAGCCUUCGCAGCCGACUGCUGUGGGCCAAGACACAGGGCCUUCGUAGAUUCCUGUCUGUGGCCGUAUCGCCUUUUAUGGACUCGGGUCGAGCCGCCUACUCGGAAAUGCCAGGACACAGCGCCUUCGUACCUUCCUGUCUGUGGCUGUAUCACCUUUUAUGGACACGACAAAAAGUGCCGCUAGUCGUCGGCAACUGCAGGCACAACCGGGUCCUUCAUCUGACCAACAUUGCCCAACUGACGCCUUAACAUCCGGUUCAAGCUCGAUGGACAGCUUCGCGGGUCGAGCCGCCUACUCGGAAAUGCCAGGACACAGCGCCUUCGUACCUUCCUGUCUGCGGCCAUAUCACAUUUUAUGGACACGGAUAUAAGGCAUGACGAAGGCGAACAGCAAAAGAACGACUGGUGGGACUCGGACGCCGCGAUGCGGGUCGCCGACAACGCACUCACAUUAUCGGGUCUAACUACUUACUCGGAGAGCCCGCGCCAACCGACUAAUGUGGGCCAAGACACAGUGCCUUCGUAACAUGCUGUCUGUGGCCAUGUCGCAUUUUAUGGACACGUGCGGCCUAUGCUGUGCCAUCCACGUCAGCCGAUGGCAGGUCGCAGUCCACAUGGAGGAAAUUAUAGCGAUUGGGUCUACACGGUGAGCCUUCGCAGCCGACUGCUGUGGCCAAGACACAGUGCCUUCGUAGAUUCCUGUCUGUGGCCGUAUCGCCUUUUAUGGACUCGGGUCCAGCCACCUACUCGGAAAUGCCAGGACACAGCGCCUUCGUGCCUUCCUGUCUGCUCUGUAUCACCUUUUAUGGACACGACAAAAAGUGCCGCUAGUCGUCGGCAACUGCAGGCACAACCGGGUCCUUCAUCUGACCAACAUUGCCCGACUGACACCUUAACAUCCGGUUCAAGCUCGAUGGACAGCUUCGCGGGUCUAGCCGCCUACUCGGAGAUGCCAGGACACAGCGCCUUCGUACUUCCUUUCUGCGGCCGUAUCACCUUUUAUGGACACGGAUAUAAGGCAAAAAAAAAAAAAAGAACGACUGGUGGAACUCGGACGACGCGAUGCAGGUCGCCGACAAC